rnacentral:rRNA from 1 species
GACGAACGCUGGCGGCGUGCCUAAUACAUGCAAGUAGAACGCAGUUGCGAACGGGUGAGUAACGCGUAGGUAACUGCCUCAUAGCGGGGGAUAACUAUUGGAAACGAUAGCUAAUACCGCAUACUUUGAGAUGGACCUGCGUUGUAUUAGCUAGUUGGUGAGGUAAAGGGUCACCAAGGCGACGAUACAUAGCCGACCUGAGAGGGUGGACGGCCACACUGGGACUGGGAAACGGGCCAGAAUCCUACGGGAGGCAGCAGUAGGGGAACUUCGGCAAUGGGCGGAAGUCUGACCGAGCAACGGCGCGGGAGUGAAGAAGGUUUUCGGAGCGGAAAGCUCUGUUGUUAGAGAAGCGGUAACUAAACAGAAAGGGACGGCUAACUACGUGCCAGCAGCCGCGGUAAUAC